AUGGCGUGUAAAAGAAACCUGAGUUUUACUACUCCCGUGAGUAAUAGGGCUUUGCAACCAGCAGCAAGCCCACUGAGCAUAAAUGAUUUAAUGAAACAGCUGAUCUCCGGUCAGAACGCUUUGUCUCGUCAGCUUGAGGGUUUGAUGGAGAAGCAAGCUGCAAACACUGUUCUUCUCGAAGAUGCUAUCCAGCGUCUUUGUGCUCUUGAGCGAAAGUUUGACGAGCAAAGACCGCAAGAGGAACAAAGACCGCGGGAAGAGCCAUUACAUAAAAGGAUAAAGAGGGCGCACAACGUGGGCAUUGCGGAAGCUGUAAGGCGCCUUCACAAUUCGGAAAACAACCCACAUAAAUAUGAUCCACAAACUGGAAUAAGUUCGCCUCGUAACCAAGCAGUCAUGACUUAUCUGCUAGAGGAAUUGAAAACAACUUUUGCAGAUGCAGACCCUGAGUGUAUACAAGCGUGUUGCAAGACAUACUUUGAAACACUUCGGAGAAAGUACAAUUUGUCUCAGCCAGAAAAGUCCCAGCUAAGAGAUGCCAUUAAAACAGGAGCUAAAAACCGACAAAGGAAAAGACGGGUAAGUGUAGAAAUUCAUCAACUUGUCUUUAAAGGGAUAGUUCACCCCAAAUUGAAAAUUCUGUUAUUUUCUUCUGAUAACCACAAAAGAAAAUAUUUUUAGGAAUGUUUGAAAUCAAACUGAUCAUGAGCUCCAAUCACUUCCAUAGUAUUUUUUUUCUACUUUAAAGUCAAUGGGGCUCAUGAUUGGUUGGAUUAUAAACAUUCCAUCUUUUGUGGUUAUCAGAACAAAGACAUUUACAGGUUUGUAACAACAUGAGAGUGAGUACAUUGACAGAAUUUUCAUUUUUGAGUGAACUAUUCCUUUAAGUUUGAUACAUUUCUGGGUGUUUUUAGUGGUUAACACAUUGUGUGUUUUGCAGUUGCUGGAUUCCAGGUCCAAGGUUGUUCAAACCGAUGCAGAGAGAGAGCUUUGGCAGACUGCAACAGUGGAGCUGAUGUCUGACGAGGAGGAUGCCAUUGUUGAUGGAAGGCCAGUGUGGAUUGUGAGGUCUCCAUCUCACAGGAACCCACAAUUGUCAGAACUUUGUGAGGAGCUUCAGCGCAGAUUGGAGGCAGACAUGCGCUACACUAUUUUGCAUCAUCAGCGUGUUAAGGCUGAUGGAAAUGGACAUGAUGGACCUUCCUUUCUUCAACUUUAACUAAACUGCACUGGUUUUGCAAUUUUAAUAAUUGCACCACAAACUGCACAUUUUCACUUAUUCUCUUCUAUUUUAUCUUAUUCUUUGUAUACUUAUUAGGUUAGAUUUAUUUAGUUUCAUAUUCUGCAACUUAUUUUCUUUUAAUAUUGUUUGUGUUUGCUGUGUUUGGUUACAUUUUAAAUACUUUGUGCUGUGUGUACAUAUUAAGUAGUUUAUUUAGUUUUAUAUUCUGUAACAGUAUAAUAUUGCUUGUGUUUAGUAAAAUUUUAUAAAAGUACUUUGCUUUGUGUACAUAUUAUUUAGUUUUAUAUUCUCUAACUGUUAUAAUAUUGCUUGUGUUUAGUAAAAUUUUAUAAAAGUACUUUGCUUUGUGUACAUAUUAUUUCGUUUUAUAUUUUGUAACUGUUAUAAUAUUGCUUGUGUUUGGUUAAAUUUUAUAAAAGUACUUUUUCCCCUGUACAGUUCCUAUAGUUUUAUUUAUAUAUUUAAUGCUUUAUUUAUAUAUUUAAUGCUUUAAGUGUUUUGGUUUAAUUUUAAUAAAAAGAAAUUCUGAAUCCA
ensembl:lncRNA